UACGUAGGGGGGCAAGCGUUGUCCGGAAUCAUUGGGCGUAAAGCGCGUGUAGGCGGCUCGGUAAGUCUGCUGUGAAAGUCCAGGGCUCAACCCUGGAAUGCCGGUGGAAACUGUACGAGCUUGAGUCCGGAAGAGGCGAGUGGAAUUCCUGGUGUAGCGGUGAAAUGCGCAGAUAUCAGGAGGAACACCGGUGGCGAAGGCGGGUCUCGUGGGCAGUGAACUGACGCUGAGACACGAAAGCGUGGGUAGCAAACAGG
rnacentral:rRNA from 1 species